rnacentral:rRNA from 1 species
AUUGAACGCUGGCGGCAUGCCUUACACAUGCAAGUCGAACGGCAGCACGGGAGCAAUCCUGGUGGCGAGUGGCGAACGGGUGAGUAAUAUAUCGGAACGCGCCCAGUCGUGGGGGAUAACGCAGCGAAAGCUGUGCUAAUACCGCAUACGAUCUAAGGAUGAAAGCGGGGGAUCGCAAGACCUCGCGCGAUUGGAGCGGCCGAUAUCAGAUUAGCUAGUUGGUGGGGUAAAGGCCCACCAAGGCGACGAUCUGUAGCUGGUCUGAGAGGACGACCAGCCACACUGGAACUGAGACACGGUCCAGACUCCUACGGGAGGCAGCAGUGGGGAAUUUUGGACAAUGGGCGCAAGCCUGAUCCAGCAAUGCCGCGUGCAGGAUGAAGGCCUUCGGGUUGUAAACUGCUUUUGUACGGAACGAAACGGCCCUUUCUAAUACAGGGGGCUGAUGACGGUACCGUAAGAAUAAGCACCGGCUAACUACGUGCCAGCCGCCGCGGUAA